rnacentral:rRNA from 1 species
AUGCCUAUUGCCUAUUGUGAUGAUUAUGAUUGGGAAGAUAAUGAUACUUCUUAUGAUCUUGAAAAUCUUUUUGGCACUUGCUUGGAAGAAUAUGAUAAUUGCUAUACUAUUGGUGAUAUCCAUACUAUUAAUGAUGAGAGUGAUUAUGCUUAUGAUAUGAAAAGGCCCAAGCUUGGGGAUGCUAUUUUUGAUGAAUAUGAUGUUUUUGAGAAUAUAUUUGCUGCAAUUAAUGUUUGUCCCAAGCUUGGGGAUGCUACGUUUAAUGAAGAUGAUAUUUUUAGUCUCCCAAGUUUUGAUAUGCAAAUUUAUAAUGAUGAUAGCAUGCCUCCUACUUAUGAUGAUUAUAUUGAUGAAAGUGGGUUUGGAAGAGUGUCAACUUUAGGAAGUAAUGAUCCCACUAUUUUGGAGGAUUUUGAAUCUUAUUAUGAUAAUUAUGAAAGUGGAUUUGGAGAGGUCAUGACUUUAUUUAGUGAUGAUUCCACUAUCUUGGAAGAGGUUUCAAUCGAUUAUGAUGAGAACAAAGUUGCUACUUGUGAUGAUUAUUGUGAUGACACAUAUGCUAUAAAAAGUAGUGAUCAUUAUAUUUAUAAAACUUGUCAUGAUUAUGAUUACCCUUUUUUUGAACAUUACUCUUUUAAUGUGGAAACAAUUUAUAGUAUUAGAGUUUCUUAUGAUACUCCCACUAUUCCAAAUGAGAAGAAUUUUGCUUAUAUGGAGAGUAAUAAAAUUUCUAUGCUUGUAGAUCAUGAAAAGAAUGCUUUAGGUGAUGGUUAUAUUGUUGAAUUCAUUCAUGAUGCUACUGAAAAUUAUUAUGAGGGAGGAAUAUAUGCUUGUAGGAAUUGCAAUAAUAUCAAGUUUCCUCUCUAUGUGCUUAAAGUUAUGAAGUUAUGCUUGUUUUACCUUCCUAUGCAAGUUGAUUCCUGUUCCCAUAAGUUGUUUUCUCACAAAAUCCCUAUGCAUAGGAAGAGGGUUAGGCUUAAAUGUUCUAGUAAUAUUCUUCAUGAUGCUCUCUUUAUGUUUCAAUUCUUAUCUUGUAUGUGA